rnacentral:rRNA from 1 species
CGUGGGUAACCUACCUAUAAGACUGGGAUAACUCCGGGAAACCGGGGCUAAUACCGGAUAAUAUUUUGAACCGCAUGGUUCAAUAGUGAAAGACGGUUUCGGCUGUCACUUAUAGAUGGACCCGCGCCGUAUUAGCUAGUUGGUAAGGUAAUGGCUUACCAAGGCGACGAUACGUAGCCGACCUGAGAGGGUGAUCGGCCACACUGGAACUGAGACACGGUCCAGACUCCUACGGGAGGCAGCAGUAGGGAAUCUUCCGCAAUGGGCGAAAGCCUGACGGAGCAACGCCGCGUGAGUGAUGAAGGUCUUCGGAUCGUAAAACUCUGUUGUUAGGGAAGAACAAAUUUGUUAGUAACUGAACAAGUCUUGACGGUACCUAACCAGAAAGCCACGGCUAACUACGUGCCAGCAGCCGCGGUAAUACGUAGGUGGCAAGCGUUAUCCGGAAUUAUUGGGCGUAAAGCGCGCGUAGGCGGUUUCUUAAGUCUGAUGUGAAAGCCCACGGCUCAACCGUGGAGGGUCAUU